rnacentral:rRNA from 1 species
CCCUUAGAUGUCCUGGGCCGCACGCGCGUUACACUGAUGCAUUCAACGAGCUUAUAACCUUGGCCGGGAGGCCUGGGCGAUCUUGUUAACGUGCAUCGUGAUAGGGAUAGAUUAUUGAAAUUAUUAAUCUUGAACGAGGAAUUCCUAGUAAACGCAGAUCAUCAAUCUGCAUUGAUUACGUCCCUGCCCUUUGUACACACCGCCCGUCGCACCUACCGAUUGGAUGGUCCGGUGAAGCCUCGGGAUUGUGGUUCUUGCCGCUUUAUUGUGGCGUGACCGCGAGAACUUGUCUAAACCUUAUCAUCUAGAGGAAGGUGAAGUCGUAACA